UGGGGAAUAUUGCACAAUGGAGGAAACUCUGAUGCAGCGACGCCGCGUGAACGAAGAAGGCUUUCGAGUCGUAAAGUUCUUUUAUAUGGGAAGAUAAUGACGGUACCAUAAGAAAAAGCCCCGGCUAACUACGUGCCAGCAGCCGCGGUAAUACGUAGGGGGCUAGCGUUGUCCGGAAUCACUGGGCGUAAAGGGUUCGCAGGCGGAAAUGCAAGUCAGGUGUAAAAGGCAGUAGCUUAACUACUGUAAGCAUUUGAAACUGCAUAUCUUGAGAAGAGUAGAGGUAAGUGGAAUUUUUAGUGUAGCGGUGAAAUGCGUAGAUAUUAAAAAGAAUACCGGUGGCGAAGGAGACUUACUGGGCUCAUUCUGACGCUGAGGAACGAAAGCGUGGGUAGCAAACAGG
rnacentral:rRNA from 1 species